rnacentral:rRNA from 1 species
GAUGAACGCUGGCGGCGUGCCUAAUACAUGCAAGUCGAGCGAACGGACGAGAAGCUUGCUUCUCUGAUGUUAGCGGCGGACGGGUGAGUAACACGUGGAUAACCUACCUAUAAGACUGGGAUAACUUCGGGAAACCGGAGCUAAUACCGGAUAAUAUUUUGAACCGCAUGGUUCAAAAGUGAAAGACGGUCUUGCUGUCACUUAUAGAUGGAUCCGCGCUGCAUUAGCUAGUUGGUAAGGUAACGGCUUACCAAGGCAACGAUGCAUAGCCGACCUGAGAGGGUGAUCGGCCACACUGGAACUAAGACACGGUCCAGACUCCUACGGGAGGCAGCAGUAGGGAAUCUUCCGCAAUGGGCGAAAGCCUGACGGAGCAACGCCGCGUGAGUGAUGAAGGUCUUCGGAUCGUAAAACUCUGUUAUUAGGGAAGAACAUAUGUGUAAGUAACUGUGCACAUCUUGACGGUACCUAAUCAGAAAGCCACGGCUAACUACGUG